CUGGUUGAUCCUGCCAGUAGUCAUAUGCUUGUCUCAAAGAUUAAGCCAUGCAUGUCUCAGUACUAGCCAACCUAAGGCGAAACCGCGAAUGGCUCAUUAAAUCAGUCAUGAUUCAUUGGAUGUUGUAAAAUCCUUACUUGGAUAACUGUGGUAAUUCUAGAGCUAAUACGUGCAACUGAGCUCCGACCCUGCCCUUCAAAGGUGGGGGAAGGGCGCUUUUAUUAGUUCAAAAACCGGUCGGACUUCGGUCCGUUCCAUAAAAGGUUUUGUGAUGACUCUGAAUAACUUAGCCGAGCGCUGAGGUCUUAGUACCGGCGCCGUAUCCUUCAAGUGUCUGCCUUAUCAGCUCUCGAUUGUAGGUUAUGCGCCUACACUGGCUGUAACGGGUAACGGGGAAUCGGGGUUCGAUUCCGGAGAGGGAGCCUGAGAAACGGCUACCACAUCUAAGGAAGGCAGCAGGCACGCAAAUUACCCAAUCCCGGCUCGGGGAGGUAGUGACGAAAAAUAACGAUGCGGGACUCUUCCGAGGCCUCGCAAUCGGAAUGAGUCCAAUCUAAAUACAUGGACGAGGAUCCAUUUGAGGGAAAGUCUGGUGCCAGCAGCCGCGGUAACUCCAGCUCAAAUAGCGUAUAUUAAAGUUGCUGCGGUUAAAAAGCUCGUAGUUGGAUUUCUGAUGCGGACCGGGAGCCCAUCCAAGGCGCGCCCCUCGUCACGCACGAACGUAGCUCUGCGUUCUGGCCGUCUUCGAAACCGAGCACGGCGGGCUUCUGUCGGCGGCGGUCCGAUUUCGGGGCUUAGGCUAGUAAACCCUUAGCAUCGUCCUCUCGCUCUUGGCAGUGACGCUUCUUCUUCAGCCUCAGUCUUCGUCGUCGAAGAGGAGAUUCAUUCUUCUCGCCGGCUGGCGUACUACUGUGUGCCGUUGUCGAUGUCGUUCUGUCGCUAAAGGGAGCGGGUAGAUCGCGGUGCGAGGGAUGCCUAGGCACUUCCGAGUCGGGCGUUAACGUCGCCGGUCGCAGUGGUUCGCUACUCGGCGUAGGGGAUUAAAAAAGCGGCUAGUUCGCGAUAAAGGGCUCGUUCCGGGCGGGUAAGCGCGCCCGGUGGUUCACUACCCGGCUCCGGAUUGAAAAAGCCGUCGGCUCUCACGGGGUGCUCUUUACCGAGUGYCCCGCGUGGCCGACAAGUUCACUUUGAAAAAAUUAGAGUGCUCAGAGCAGGCAAAAAUUUAAAGCCUGAAUGGUGGUGCAUGGCAUGAUGGAACAGGACCUCGGUUCUGCCUUUUUCUACCCGGUUUUUCUGGAUCGAGGUAAUGAUUAACGGGAACAGACGGGGGCAUUAGUAUUGCGACGCUAGAGGUGAAAUUCUUGGACCGUCGCAAGACUAACUACUGCGAAAGCAUUUGCCAAGAAUGUUUUCAUUAAUCAAGAACGAAAGUUAGAUGAUCGAAGGCGAUCAGAUACCGCCCUAGUUCUAACCAUAAACGAUGCUAACUGGCGAUCCGUCGGCGUCAUUCCCACGACUCGACGGGGAGCCCCCGGGAAACCAAAGUCUAUGAGUUCCGGGGGAAGUAUGGUUGCAAAGCUGAAACUUAAAGGAAUUGACGGAAGGGCACCACCAGGAGUGGAGCCUGCGGCUUAAUUUGACUCAACACGGGAAACCUCACCAGGCCCAGACACUGGAAGGAUUGACAGAUUGAGAGCUCUUUCUCGAUUCAGUGGGUGGUGGUGCAUGGCCGUUCGUCGUUGGUGGAGCGAUCUGUCUGGUUAAUUCCGAUAACGAACGAGACUCUACCCUGCUAACUAGUCGGCGAAUCGUCUCCCGAGACGGGUUCUUCCGCGGGUGUUUCGGGGUGGCUCCUUUCCUUCGUCGCUCCGUUCGCGCGCGUCAUAGCGGUAAAGUCGUCGUGGUCGGGUCCUACCGAUAUGUGUGUGUGUUUGUAUGCACGAUGCGUUUACGCGUGUCGCUGCUACUACUACACACAGACCCGGGAAAGGCUCUACUACUUCUUCGGCYCCCGUAUUGACGCGUUGCGGGCGGUUUAAAAGCGUUCGGGGGAGUUCGGGGAGUUUACUUCCGUUCUCCGCGCGUUGAGCCCAGCGAGGGGCGUUCGUCGCAUCAUCUUCUUAGAGGGAUCGGUGGCGUCCAGCCACAAGAGAUAGAGCAAUAACAGGUCUGUGAUGCCCUUAGAUGUUCUGGGCCGCACGCGCGCUACACUGAAGGGAUCAGCGUGCUUUCCCACUCCGAAAGGAGCGGGUAACCCGAUGAAACCCCUUCCCGAUUGGGAUUGGGGAUUGUAAGUGUUUCCCAUGAACGAGGAAUUCCCAGUAAGCGCAAAUCAUCAGUUUGCGUUGAUUACGUCCCUGCCCUUUGUACACACCGCCCGUCGCUACUACCGAUUGAAUGAUUCAGUGAGGGCAUCGGACUGGCGCCCUCGKUAGCCGUCGGUUUCGCAUUCAACCUCGCUUCGGCGGGGGCGGCCGGCAGCACCCCGGGCUGACGGAAAGAUGUCCGAACUUGAUCAUUUAGAGGAAGUAAAAGUCGUAACAAGG
rnacentral:rRNA from 1 species